UACGUAGGGGGCAAGCGUUGUCCGGAUUUAUUGGGCGUAAAGAGCGUGUAGGCGGCCAUUCAGGUCAGCUGUGAAAACUCGAGGCUCAACCUCGAGACGUCGGUUGAAACCGUUUGGCUAGAGUCCGGAAGAGGAGAGUGGAAUUCCCGGUGUAGCGGUGAAAUGCGCAGAUAUCGGGAAGAACACCCGUGGCGAAGGCGGCUCUCUGGGAAGGUACUGACGCUGAGACGCGAAAGCGUGGGGAGCGAACAGG
rnacentral:rRNA from 1 species